AUGAUGAAGGAAAGACAGCAGGUCUUACUGUUGCCAGAUUGUGGUGGACCGUUUAGCGCACUAUCCAGGCCACUUCAAGGUGGUUUCCUGAAUUCUGGCUGGGCUUACGGUGUCUGGAUUUUAAAAUUUCCCUUCUGUUCCACUGGGCUUCAACUGGAAAACCAAAGCAAGGAUCUAAACAACAGGCAAAGGUCAGUGGCCCUCCAGGACCAAAACUGCCCAACCCCUCUACUGAGAAAGACUCCAGAAACAAAAGAUGGGAAAAGGAUACUGAAGAAGAAUAAAGUGACUGUGGCACAGAGAGAAAGAAGAGCGAUGUUGACAGAGGUCUCAGGUCAUUUGAUGAAAUGAAGAUAAGGUUGAGGACCUCCUGAUAAAGACCUGCUUAUGUCUGAAGUCGCUCUCUACUUACUCAGCCUCAACCCUGUCCUGUUACCUACUGCACAGCACUCAGACCCCUUAUUAAGGGCACCAUGGGAACAAAUGUUCCCAUUGUCCACCCCAAAAAUUCCUCCCCCAGUCUCUGAGAGGACCUGUUAGCGCCCUUUCCAACCCCCUCCUCCGCCCACCAUUCUUCGCCUGUCUCUUUGGCACACCCUGAAUGAAUGUAACACAUGAAUUAGUCCGCGAUUCUUUCUCUUUUCUUGUCUCUUGUUCUGAGAGUGGCCUGAUUUGACUCGGCUUCCAAGCCAUUUAUCCACGAGAGGUUACAAAACCGCAUAAAAACUCUGGGACUCUGGCCCUGCCCCAGAACUCUAUUAUUUUAAGCAAAUUUCAGCCCCAUAAUCAGUGUUGUACAAAUAAACUACCAUUUUCAUGACCAAGAUCUCCACAGCCGACAGGAAAUGUAUGCAAGACUUAGCAGAUCAGCUGAUGAUUGGGUUCUUAUUCCAUAUGGGGUUUGAAUAAUGCAUGGCUAUAUCACUAUAUUUCUGUUGUGUGGAGGGAAUAAAGGUCUUGUAAUGUUAAUUUACAAGCUUUCGGUUAUUCCUGAGGUCAGACCUGUGCUAUGCUUCUGAGUUCCAUGUGUCUGUGUUUCUGCUCAUAAUUAGACCAAUGAUGACAAGUCACUUAUACAUGCUGACAGCACCAGCCGUUACCUCAGUCAACCUUCACAACAUUUUCCAAUCCCAGUUGACGAUGUGUGAAAGUCAAUUUCUUUUUUUCUUGCCUCGUGGGGUGGGAGAAAGAGCGCAAUGCCUGUCAGUAUGGUCACUUAGUGUAUUUUUGCCAGGUGUGAUAUAAUUGUUUAUCCUGGAACAAUAUUCCUAUUAACCAAUCAUGCAUUUCCAAACAUGUGAUACUUAAUUUCUUCUGUGGAAAAGAAAAGGAGACAUCUGAAUGAAUAUUUUGAUGGGUGAAAUCCAUACAGUGGCAGGACAUUGCGGUGUACUUUAACACAUAAUAAAGCACCCAAGUGUGUCAGCAAAGCUCAUUGAUCAUUUUCAAGUGCUCCAACUGGUUUUGUUAAAAACAACCCAAUAUUUAAGGGAAUUAAUAUUGCUUUCCUGAGUGCUAUUUAGUGUCUCACACUCCAGUCUUCAUUCCACAAUUUUAUUUCUCUUUCAUCAGGUUGUUUGGCACCAAAACUUACUGGAGUAAGCCUACGUUAAAAAAAAAAUAAAAAAACAUAACUGAGUGUAAGUACCUUUUUGCUGACAAACUUGGGUGCCUUUCUUAGUGUACUGCCACUGUCCCAAAUUUACCCAACCACAUAAUUUUGGAAGAGUUUGGAAUGACAUGAUGGUGAGUAAAUGAUAACAUAAUUAUCAUUUCUGGGCAAACUAUCUAAGGCAUAUCAACCUAUCAUUUCCUCCUGAUUGUGGGUUAAGGGUUGCGGUUUGCAAUAGGGUUAGAACUAUGUUUGCUGUUCCAGGACCAUCUCCCACAGUACCUGCCAAAAUCACAAUCAUCAGCAUAGUGAAUCAUAUCAGAAGUAGCAAAAAGACUGAACAAUUCUCCCUAAAUAAAUUUGUUGUUCAUAAUUUGUAGGCAUAUCAUUUUGGAUGUGCUGCAAUUGUGGUGCACUCCUGUUGCCGGAGCAUAGCGAUGGCCAAGGCUGAAUUUCCCAUCAUAAAAAUAACUGAGCUAUGUGACCAAUAUUUAUAUCGGUAGUUCUGGUUUUCUGAUCUAUUGCAGCAUAGAAGCCCAGACAUGGUGGUUUAUGGAUCCAUUACUCAAGGCCAAAAGCUG
ensembl:lncRNA